UCAGGGACAGCAGGAGCUUAGAUUGUUGGUACAGAGGGAUCCCCCUACUACUCAACUGGAGGUUGUGGCUGAUCCUCCAGCUGGAGAGGCUAAUGGACCUAAUGGAACGGGGCUAUCCCGACCUCACGUGUCAACCUUGAUAAACAACCCAUCCAUGAUGAUCAGGAGGAUCAAUUCGCCUUGCUUCAGGAGGACUUUGG
rnacentral:lncRNA from 1 species